rnacentral:misc_RNA from 1 species
UAAUAGGUGUUUUAUGGCACUUUUUAAAUCCAUAUCCACCUUGUGUGCAAUGUCAGUCGAUCUUCUUCAUGGAGAUCGACCAAACAUCAACCUUUAUUUUUUAACUCUUUGUCUGAAAAAUAUUAUGAAUAAACAAUUCAAAAUA